CUGAGGCUGAGUGAGACUACACACCUGCACUGCAUCUACAAUCAAGGCCCUAUAAGAAGCCAGCAGCCCUCAGUCUCAGUGCUUAAGUAUUGUCUUCACUCCUGAGUGGUACAGACGCAUCUCCUGGCCUUCUUCUCGGAUAAGUACUUGUGACUUUUUGCUCCAUGUGAAUUUUUGUAUGUCUUCUCACUUCCAUCUCCUCUGUUUCUCCACAGUGUCUCCAGCCCACACAACAGCCAGCCAGCAAACCAGACUUUCCUCGUGUCUUUUUCCCCUGAGUUUGGACAUUAAAAUUACAUCUUAAUUUGCUAUCUGCCUCUGUGUCUGCAUCUGGGUCCUCAAAAUACACCAUAUGCCACAGUAACCUAACACACUCUUGUCAUUUUGUUUGAGUAUGCAUCUGUUGACUGAUCUGAGGACAGCACACAUGAAGCUGCUGCAGAUCUGACCUAUUGUUUUGUGACUGCAUUGGUGGAACUGUUUAAAGUCUGAUCUUUAGUCUCCUUAUUUCACAGAUGUACAUGUAGGAGCAGAAA